UACAGAGGUGGCAAGCGUUGUUCGGAAUUACUGGGCGUAAAGGGCGCGUAGGCGGCCUCGCAAGUCCCGUGUGAAAUCCCUCGGCUCAACUGAGGAAUGGCACGGGAAACUGCGGGGCUUGAGCCACCUAGGGGCAACUGGAACAAGCGGUGGAGCGGUGAAAUGCGUAGAUAUCGCUUGGAACGCCAACGGUGAAAACAGGUUGCUGGGGGUGUGCUGACGCUGAGACACGAAAGCCAGGGGAGCGAACGGG
rnacentral:rRNA from 1 species